AGUGAACGCUGGCGGCGUGCCUAAUACAUGCAAGUCGAACGGAGCGGCGGACGGGUGAGUAAUAUAUAGCUAAUCUGCCGAUAGCUGGAGGAAAACAGUUAGAAAUGAAUGCUAAUACUCAAAAGAAAGGGAUGAGACUAUAUCGUAUCAGCUAGUCGGUGGGGUAACGGCCGACCGAGGCUAUGACGCGUAACUGGUCUGAGAGGAUGAGCAGUCACAUUGGAACGGAGACACGGGCCAAGAAUCUUCGGGAGGCAGCAGUAGGGUAGAUUGCGCAAGGGGGGAAUCCCUGACGCAGCAACGCCGCGUGGAGGAUGACACUUUUCGGAGCGUAAAUUCCUUUUGUUAGUGAAGCGGUACCUAACGAAUAAGCACCGGCUAACUCCGUGCCAGCCGCCGCGGUAAUUC
rnacentral:rRNA from 1 species